GAUGAACGCUGGCGGCGUGCCUAAUACAUGCAAGUCGAGCGAACAGACGAGGAGCUUGCUCCUUUGACGUUAGCGGCGGACGGGUGAGUAACACGUGGGUAACCUACCUAUAAGACUGGGAUAACUUCAGGAAACCGGAGCUAAUACCGGAUAAUAUUUCGAACCGCAUGGUUCGAUAGUGAAAGAUGGCUUUGCUAUCACUUAUAGAUGGACCUGCGCCGUAUUAGCUAGUUGGUAAGGUAACGGCUUACCAAGGCAACGAUACGUAGCCGACCUGAGAGGGUGAUCGGCCACACUGGAACUGAGACACGGUCCAGACUCCUACGGGAGGCAGCAGUAGGGAAUCUUCCGCAAUGGGCGAAAGCCUGACGGAGCAACGCCGCGUGAGUGAUGAAGGUCUUCGGAUCGUAAAACUCUGUUAUUAGGGAAGAACAAACGUGUAAGUAACUGUGCACGUCUUGACGGUACCUAAUCAGAAAGCCACGGCUAACUACGUG
rnacentral:rRNA from 1 species